UUGCCACCGAGCCCCAGCCAAUCAAGUCUUGCGUUUCGCCUAUGCGCGGCCCUUGUGCCUGUGAUGGCUGCCUGGGCUGCCGCGCGGCGUGGAUACGUGACUGGUGUUGUAGCACUGUGGUAGCUUUAAUAGCGUGGUGUUAUACACGGUACCAGUGGUACGUUUCACGUGUUGCGUCGCUAAUACUGUAAGAAAGCUUGAUGGACACUCACUUGAGCAGUGACACCUCAGAUCCAGCCAGAGCAUCAUCACGUAUUUAUGUAGGCAAUCUCAAGAAACACAUUGAACGCGAAGACUUGCAGAAGCUAUUUUCAAAGUACGGUGAAAUACAAGGCAUCUCUCUGCACAAAGGGGGGUUUGGCUUUGUACAGUUUAAGGAAGAAAAAGAAGCAGACGCUGCUGUCAAAGGCGAAGGUGGCGUCUUCUUUAAAGGCUGUCUGCUACAGUUGAGGGUCUGUAGCAGCCAGGACUCAAGGCGAUCAUAUAGAGGAACGUCACGGGAACGGGAUAGGGAGUACUCGGACCACGACCGUCGACACGAAGCAGGUAUGCCAAGAGACAGGUCACCGGUGCAUCGUGACUAUGAUGAACGGGAAUUUAAACGGGAUGACAGGCCACCUCCUGGUAAGCCAUAUGAUCGUUCUCCUCCUCGUCGUGGAGAUGACUACUCGUCCGAUCGACGCUUCGGAAGGGAUGAAGGUCGCUAUGGCAGGGAUGCACCUCCAUACCGAGGGGACGAUUACUCACGAGGAGGACCCCCGGGGGGACCACCUCCUCCACGUGAUCGCUACAGUCGGGAUGACAGGUAUGGUGGUAGAGAUGAACGUGGAUAUGGCCGUGAUGAUCCACAUAGGCCCUACCCUCGCCCAGAAGGAAAUGGACGCUACGGCCGGGAUGGCUACUGGAGUGGCAGGGAUGAGUACGGUGGCCAUCACGGGAGAGAUGAGCCCCCGAUGGGCUAUGGAAGAGAUGAGCAACCUGCACCACGGAGCCGAAUGGAUCCUGUACCAGUUCCACCACCAUUCAGACCAGAAACUGAUCUCCGGAAGCCAAAUGACUGUGAGAUUAUAGUGCUUCACAGGCAAAACAGAAAUUAUGCAGAAAUGGUGGAACGUCGCCUCAAGAACCUCGGCAUGCAGGUGGACCUUUUAUUCUUGAAAGACGAAGCUCUGCUUAGCCGAGCUCUUGAAGAUUUGACCCAGCGAGGCACAUUGUUUGCUGUUGUGGUGACAGAUCAACAUGAAGUGCAUGGAAGCGUCACAGUCAAUAUUCUUUAUGGAGUUCCUCAAGUUGAGCGGGCAAAACAAGAGGCAGACCGCAUGCAUGAGGCUGGUGACCAUGAGGCAUCGUACAAGAUGCUCUUACAGCACAAGGACUGUGGCGAUCCAGAGCUGUUGUGGCGCCUUGCACGUGUCACAUUCAAGCGGUGCGAAUCAGCCCCCAAGGCUGAGAAGGAGGCAGGGCUUGCCGAAGGCAUAACAUACCUUGACAAGGCUGUUGAGUGUGGAGGUGACAAGCUGGGCCAUGUUCACAAGUGGUACAGCAUUUUGAUAGGCUCCAAGAAGGACCAUCCUUCAACCAAGGAAAGAAUCCAUGAUGGUUUCUUAAUCAAGAAGCAUGUUGAGAAAGCAAUAGAAUUGAUGCCUCACGACCCUCUGAAUUAUUAUGUUCUUGGAAAUUGGUGCUAUGAGGUGGCAGGCACACCAUGGAUCAUCAGGAAGGCAGGGCAGCUUAUAUUUUCAGAAAUCCCAAGCUCCAGUUAUGAAGAGUUAAACCACAUUUUUACAGAAGGAACCUGUUAAUGAUUGCCAAAACUCUUUUGGAACUAAAUCGCAAGGACGAAGCAGUGACUUACUUACAACGAUGUGUUGACAUUCCCACCAAGCCUACACAAGAUGACAAAAAGGUGUCUGAAGAGGCGCAGCAGUCAUUGAGAAAGUUGGGCAUGUCGUAAUUGUGCACUUUCUUGCCUUCACUUGUCAUGGCCUGGAAUGUGUUUUGAAGAAACAUGCAGUAUUAAGUUUGGCUAUAGUGUUCCAAGAUUAUGAAAUAAAGACCAAGUGUUGUUU
rnacentral:misc_RNA from 1 species